GGAAAAGAAAAAUGGCAGUCGAACGAACUUAGUACCUUGCUUGCUAGGUACGCGGUUAAUGGCGGACUGGUGAGUACCAUUUAAGGAACCUGCCUAUUACAGAGGAAUACCACUGAGAAAUCUCUGCUAAUACCUCAUAUGCCUUACUUAUCGCAUGAUAAGAAAGGGAAAGGAGCAAUCCACUAAUAGAUGGCCUUGCGCCUGAUUAACUAGUUGGUGAGAUAAAAGCCCACCAAGGUAACGAUCAGUAGCCGAACUGAGAGGUUGAACGGCCACAUUGGGACUGAGAUACGGACCAGACUCCUACGGGAGGCAGCAGUCAGGAAUAUUGCGCAAUGGAGGAAACUCUGACGCAGUGACGCCGCGUAUAGGAAGAAGGUUUUCGGAUUGGAAACUAUUGUCUAUAGGGAAGAAAAAAAACUGUACCUAUCAAGAAAGCUCCGGCUAACUACGUGCCAGCAGCCGCGGUAAUACGUAGGGAGCAAGCGUUAUCCGAAAUUAUUGGGUGUAAAGGGAGCGUAUACGGUAUGUCGAGUUAGUUGUGAAAUACCUCGGCUCAUCUGAGGAACUGCAACUAAAACUAACAUUCGUGACUGCAGGAGAGGUACGUGAAAUUCCUAGAGUAGCGGGGAAAUGCGUAUAUAUUAGGAAGAAGAUCAGAGGCUAAGGCGACUUUCUGUACUGUAAGUGACGUUCAGGAACGAAAGUGAGGGUAGCACACAAGAUUAUAUACCCUGGUAAUCAUCACUG
rnacentral:rRNA from 1 species